AACGAACGCUGGCGGCAUGCCUAACACAUGCAAGUCGAACGAGACCUUCGGGCCUUGUCUUGCACGGGUCCGUAACGCGUGGGGACAUGCCUUUAGGUUCGGAUUAACUCCCCGAAUGGGGUCCUAAUACCGGAUAUUGUCCUCGAACCAAAGAUUUAUCGCCUUUGGAUGGGCCCGCGUUGGAUUAGCUAGUUGUUAGCGUAAAAGCCUACCAAUGCGACGAUCCAUAGCUGGGAAGAGAGGCAGCUCAGCCACACUGGGGUUGAGACACGGCCGAGAAUCUUAGGGAAGGGAGCAAUGGGGAAUAUUGGACAGCGGGGUAAGGGAUGAAGCAGCAAGGCCGGGUAAGUGAUGAAGGCCGGAAGGAAGUGAAGUACGUUUACACGGGAUGAUAAUGACGGUACCGGGAGAAUAAGCUCCGGCUAACUCCGUG
rnacentral:rRNA from 1 species